rnacentral:rRNA from 1 species
UACGUAGGGUGCAAGCGUUGUCCGGAAUUAUUGGGCGUAAAGAGCUCGUAGGCGGUCUGUCGCGUCGGCUGUGAAAACUCGGGGCUCAACUCCGAGCUUGCAGUCGAUACGGGCAGGCUAGAGUUCGGCAGGGGAGACUGGAAUUCCUGGUGUAGCGGUGAAAUGCGCAGAUAUCAGGAGGAACACCGGUGGCGAAGGCGGGUCUCUGGGCCGAUACUGACGCUGAGGAGCGAAAGUGUGGGGAGCGAACAGG